rnacentral:rRNA from 1 species
AACGCGAAGAACCUUACCAGGAUUCGACAUGCCCUCUAUGGAUUCCCGAAAAGGAAUCCUUCACUUCGGGUGGGAGGAGCACAGGUGCUGCAUGGCUGUCGUCAGCUCGUGUCGUGAGAUGUUGGGUUAAGUCCCGCAACGAGCGCAACCCUCGUCUUCUGUUGCUAACAGGUUAGGCUGAGCACUCUGAAGAAACUGCCGGUGAUAAGCCGGAGGAAGGUGGGGAUGACGUCAAGUCCUCAUGGCCCUUACAUCCUGGGCUACACACGUGUUACAAUGGUGGUGACAAUGAGCAGCGAUCCCGCAAGGGCUAGCCAAUCUCAAAAAGCCACCUCAGUUCGGAUUGUACUCUGCAACUCGAGUACAUGAAGCUGGAAUCGCUAGUAAUCGCGGAUCAGCACGCCGCGGUGAAUACGUUCCCGGGCCUUGUACACACCGGUAUCUC